GUGUGCUAUGGCUCGAAUCCGUAGUCAAUCCUAUUUACGAUAGGAGCAGUUGACAAUUGAAUCCAAUUUUGCCCAUUAUUUUCAUUUUCUAAAUGUAAUAGUCCA